rnacentral:rRNA from 1 species
CCUACGUGUGGCUGCAGUGAGGAAUAUUGGUCAAUGGACGCAAGUCUGACCCAGCAACGCCGCGUGAAGGAAGAAGGCUUUCGGGUUGUAAACUUCUUUUGUCAGGGAAGAGUAGGAGACGGUACCUGACGAAUAAGCCACGGCUAACUACGUGCCAGCAGCCGCGGUAAUACGUAGGUGGCAAGCGUUGUCCGGAUUUACUGGGUGUAAAGGGCGUGUAGCCGGGUUGACAAGUCAGAUGUGAAAUCCUGCGGCUUAACCGCAGAACUGCAUUUGAAACUGUUGAUCUUGAGUACUGGAGAGGCAGAUGGAAUUCCUAGUGUAGCGGUGAAAUGCGUAGAUAUUAGGAGGAACACCAGUGGCGAAGGCGGCUUACUGGACAGUAACUGACGUUGAGGCUCGAAAGCGUGGGGAGCAAACAGGAUUAGAUACCCCUGUAGUC